AUUCAUCACUUUGGGACAAUGUAGGCACAGAGUUUGUGGUGAUUGGGAUGGGGCUGUGGGAGCCUCAUCCCCAUGGGCACAGCUGUGAGCAGCAGGUGAGCAGCACUGACACAAUGAGCCAUGGAGUGCCCAGGGGCACUGAGCAACCACCAAAGGGAGCAGAGGGCACACAGGUGCCGUGCAUCAACGUGAGGGGAUAAAAGGUUGGGCUAAGGAAGAAGGGCAGAUGCCUGCAUUGCAGCCUUCUGAGGUGAUCUGAUGUUACUCUGCAUGGGCAGAUGCCUGAUGCCUUCUGAAGUGGUCUGGCUCUAACCCAACCUGAACAUCCCCUAGGCCUCAGGAAUGACAUUUAAUUUUGAAAGCAUUUUUCCAGGCUUGGCAAGGAGAAAAUGAGUGUUUUCCUCUGGAAAUGUCUUCACUGGUCAUUGAAUGCCUUUCCUGUUCACUUUUGAAAGAACACAAUUAAAUAUCUGAUUAGAUCUGUCAGCACACUCAGGAGAGCAGGAAGUCAUGGUUGGGCAGAAAUACCUUUCUACAGCAGCAAGGACUCAUUUACUCCAGGGAUCCAUCAGCCACACAGUGCUGCUAUAACAAUGAACCCAAACAAAUGUUGAAUGAUAUUUUAAAUAUGCUUUAAUUGAUGAUAUUUUACUUUUCCUCAAAAGGAAAAAAGUAAUGUUUGCCAGCUGGGAUGGUUGGGAUGCUUUCCUCUGUCUGUGGGGUUGGCUUCAGUUAGAGCUGCUCAAGGAACAGUUUGCUGGCCUGGACAAAUGCUCACUCCUGGCUUUUCCCUGCCUCCCGCCCAGCUGAGGCCUCAGCACACCCUGAAAUGGUGGUGAUGGACACCCAAGGGCUGUGCCAUGGGACCCUGUGUGCUGCACAGUCCCUCAGCCCAGUGCCAGGACUUGGGAUGGAGCUGAAAGGAGUGGGCUGGUUCUGGCUGGCUCCCUUGGCUUCCACACCAGUCACUUUGUCCCAUCCCUUCCUCCCCAGGCCAACAACAACAACCAGAAUUCAACCAUGUUAAAAUGAUAUUGACCUGUUGGAGCAAGUCCAGAGAAGGCCACCAAGUUGCUUAGAGGGAAGGAGCAUCUCUGCUAACAGGAGAGGUUGAGAGAACUGGGAUUGCUCUUCUCUCAGGGGAAAAGAAGGCUUUGGGUGAUCUGAUUGUGGCCUUAUGGAUCUAGAGCCUUUCUUUCACAUUAUUUUUAUGUUUCUGAUAUCAAAGACAAACUGUGUGUUGUGAGCAACAAGCUUGUUGUGCUUGAGUAAAUGAAGCAUAGUGAAUUUUCAUAAGAGUUAGUUAUUUUAGAGAGAUAAAUGUGCACCAUCAUCAGCUUUAGAUAGUUCAAGAGAUAAAACAAUUAGCACAAUGCCUUAUGAGGUGAAUUAAUGUACCCAUCAGAAUUUUUUUGGCUUUAUUAUAAUGUGUGGGCAGAUUUUCAGGACUUUGAUGAUAUCUAGAUCUAUUAAUCAAACCCAAAUUCACUCAAGGUGAGAAGAAGGGGAAAAAUAAAAGCCAUUUCUGAUUUGAUAUUAAUCACAAGUUCAAUGCUAAGGUCUGGUAAUCAUUUGAGUAGGCCCUCCUUUUGCUAGCUAGUCAGGAGACAUUGAAUUUUAUUAAAUGGGAUUACUGGGUCAUGGUAUUCACUGUAUUGUGAAUAGCACUUGAUCAAGGAGAGUACAGUGAAAUAACCUUCAGACAAGGUCGUCGACUCACAAAGAUAUCUUAAAUCAAAAGCACUUUACUAUGAAGGCAAUCCAGCAAACUUCAGGAAAAAUUUCCUUUGUUUGUAAAAGAAAGAUACUUAACUGCAGCCUCACAGAUCAAGUUCAGAACUCCAUUUUGUGUACAUCAAAUAGCUGCUCCACGUGCGCUCAAUGCAGUGAACAGUCUGGGGAUGGACUCUGUCUGCAAGCCUGAAUAGACAGCCAGCUUUAAUGGCCGACUCCCAAUGGAGUUUUUUCUGAGGAAAGCACAGGUUGUAUUUCCUGCCAUCUCUGCCAAACCUGGGGCUGUCACUCCCUGCUCUGCAGACCACCAUUGUACCUAAAGAAAGCAGGUAAAGGGAUGAAUAACCCAUUGCAAAAAGAGUAGUAUACCUUUCUCUCCCUAAAGGGUAUGCUCUGUUAGACUGAACCACCUCAUCUUCAGGAAACACUGGUGACAAUCAGUGGGUGAUUUCACGAGUAUUAAGGAGAGGCUAAGUUGAAAGACAUUUGCUAUGAGAUCACAGACUCAGUUACGGGUGGUAGAGUGCCCCUGUGGCUGUCACAUAACCCAAGCCACCCCCUAACCCAAGUGUAUCCAGGUUCCUGAAUAUUCCUAAGGAGACUGCCCAGUGCUGGCUCUCCAUUUCCAUCUAGCAAACAGCUUGAACACAGUUUGUAAAACAUGAAAGCAAUUUCUGUUGCCUCCUCCAACACUGUGUAGCAGCUGUUUGUGACACAGCUGGGUACCAGGGCUGGGCCUGGCUUCUGCAAAUGGGGGGUGGCACUACCUGAGAGCAGGGCAGGGCUGCAUCGUGUCAACUGAAAUCCUGCAGACCAUGUGAGAACACUGACCAUUUCUCAGUUCAAGACAUCUGGUGUCAGAUGAAGCCAUAAAGGUGAAUAUUUUUGACACACUGCUGAUCUGAGGCUGAAGUGCUCAGGACAGGCAAAAUUUUCAUUGCCCAAUGUAUUACCUCAGGCAACAAUCAAACUUUGCUAUGGCUGCAUUUUGAGGGCAGUGCAAAGUGGAUUGCUACAGAGGUGGUGCUGCUGGAGGGGAGGCUGUGCCACAAAGAAAAUUGCAACGUGGAUCAUGAGAAAAGAUUAGGCAAUGCAAUUGAUCAUCUUCCGACAGUUGCAUGCAGCAGGGUAUGGCUGCCUAUUGGAUGUCAGUGGUUGGGGCAGAAUGUCAAAUGAGUGCAUUUCAGCCAUGUGUGUCACUGAUGAACACAGAAACCAAAAGUUCACAAGAUGUUCUGAGUAUGUACAAGAAGAAAUAAUUUGAAAAGGAAUAAAAUGAGGUGAGGAGCAGGGGAAAUACAUUAGGAAAUGUUAAAGAUCUUUUGCAAAGGCCCAUUAACAGUUCUGCUCAGGCACAACAGAGAAGAGAGUGAAGUGUGUGUCAGGAAGAUUGAAAUGAGUCACUCAGAUAAAACACUGCUGUGACCUAAAGCCCCAUUUGGUUACUUUUAAUGGCAAAAUACUUGGAGCAAUUUAUUUUUCCUCUCUAAGGUAGUUUAGUGCAACAUGGAAAUUGAUAAGGAUGAUGCUGAAUGGUUUUAUCACAGUAGAAAAGGGAAAAAUUUCAUUAAUACAGUUAUUGUAUGGGUGUAAAGUGGAGCUGUUUUUUUUUUUUUGUAAGAUCCUAUGAAGUCAUCCAAGGCUUCUUGGAUGACUUCAUAGUCAUCCAAGUAUGGAUGACUAUGGAAAGUAAAAGUAAAAGUUUGGAAAGUAAAAGUAAAAGUUUGGAAAGUAAAGAAAACAAAGCAAAACCUUAACCAAACAAAGCAUUCAGGUGGAGUGAAUGUUCAAUGUCCCUGAACUGGUCACAUUUAACUUCAAACAUCUUGUCAUCAUCUUAAAGAACAGUAUCAAGACAUCUAUUUCAAUCUGUCACUUUUUACUUUUCCUCCAUGCAGCCUCAGGGCAAACCCUGAGAAAAAUGCAUAACACACAAGGAUGCUGGGGUCUCAAAGCUGUGCAAUUGCAGCUUUGCUUAUUCGUGCAAAGAUCUGGGAGCUGAGAAGGAAACCCUUUUGUAAGUGGAAGCCAAAAUGUCAAACACAGCUGGUCCUUGUCUCUUUUUAGAGUGCAGUAUGAGCCUCAGUUUGGCACGAUUGUAGUUAUUUCAUUAGCAACUCAGAAGGUGAAAUUGCUCUUUCAAAGGUAAGCUGUUAAAAUGAAAACAUUUCAGUUCACUGCAGCCUGGAAGGCAUUACAGCAAUAGUGAAGCUCUCUGUGUGACAACCUUCCUCCUCCACUGUGCCUUGGAAAGUCUGAAACCAAUCCUGUGAAGAAUAGUCACCUAACCUGAUUAUAAAAUCCAUUGCAGGGAAAUGCUAAUGGCUGGUAAUGUGGAGGAACAAAAAGAGAAAAGGCCAAUUCAUUUCUAUGAGACACAGCAAUGGAUCAUGGUGUGACACACUAUUGGGACUGCAGAGGAAUGAGCUCCUCUUAGUGCUCGUGGAUUCAGUGAUUAUUUAUGACUGCUAACAUCCAUCACCCAAAGGGCAGGGUAGUGGUGCUGGUGCUGCAUCAUUUCUGUCCCCUUUGGAAAUACACAGGAGCGAGUGAAGGGGUGUCUGCGAGCAGAUUCACACACUGGUUCUUUGGACAGACUCUUCUACCAUGGCCUGGAAAAGUAUUGAGUAAGAAAAUUAUUGCUCAUGGCUUUAAAUUUUUAGAGGGAGAGCUGUGAUAUGUGAGAAACAGGUCCUUGGCUCUACAGCGUACACUGGGAAAUUCUGACAUCAAGAGAAUAAUGCUCUGCAUAACCCACAUUUCUUCCCCUCUGUGUCACCUGGCCCCUUUUCCAAAGCACAUGCACAUAGAAGGACCAUGCCAGGGCUGGCAAAGGACAGACUAAGAGAGGUAAAUCUUCAGGAAAGAGAUGGGAUUUGGCCCAGAAGUUAGUUGCUCAGGAUCACUACCCAAUUGCUCUGUGACACCUUCAGGUUAGGAUACAGGAGGCAAAAGCAAAACCAAACCAGCUUUUUUCACUUUUAAACUUUAAUUGAAAGCAUCAUUUAUAAAUGCAUGGCUGUAGAUUUGGGGUGGAGGCCACAGCAUGUGUAAUUUUAGGGAAGUCAGAGAAGUGAGUUUACCGUGGCCAAAGAUUUAGGUCUUAGUAAUGGAUGUUGAAAAUUGAAAGGAAAACAACCAGUUUAAAAAAUAACCCUGCAUCAACACUGCUAAAUUAAAAGACUUAUUAGUAGCAUUGAAAUAACUUCAUAACCACUUACAUCAAGUUAAAACAACUUCCCUCUUUGACAGCAGCCGAUUUCUGCCCUUUCUGGUGAGGCUGCUCUUGCUGUGUGCUCCCUGUCACUUGGGACUAGGAUACAGCGAGUGGAAAGAUGAUGGCUUGGCAAAAAUGACUCAGUUUUCAUUUGUAAACUGACAAUUGUGUACUGGAAAACAUGAAGAGCAAACCGAGUUUGAUUUGUAAACAGUGGGAAACCUCAGCAAUAUCUGCUGUAACUGUUAUGUAACGCCUGAGUGAGGCACUGAUUUCUGGGUGACGCCUGUGAUACCAUAACAAACACUGAAAAACAGAAAGUCAAAGAGAAAAAGCAAUGUGAAUAAGAUGAAAAACAAGUAAAACCAUAAAGAAGCCUAGAGUAUUCAGAGGCUACUCUAGCAAAUUACUGAAGAGAUUAUUAGUAGGUAUUGAACCCAAAAAACAUAAGAACCAAGCAUCAUGUAUCAAGAAAGACAAUUCCCCAUGGUCCUUGAUAUGAAUUAUUUUGUGUGAGGCUUUGGUCCGCUCUUAGGCACGAGCCAGCUGUUAGGCCAGAGCAGAGCCUGUCUCUGUGCCCUGCCUGCCUCCCACAGGGCACAGGCACAGAGCAAUCCUGCACGGCUGCUCUGGCCUGUGUCUGCCUGGUCUUGUCACCCAACUGUUCUGUGCCCUCUCUGGUGUGCAACACAGCUGUCCCUGGGUUAGGUUAGGCUGCUUGGCUGUUAAACCAAGCAAAAAAGAAGCUUAACAAGAAGGGAAGGAACUGAACAUUUCUAUAUAAAACAGGGUUGGGAAAGCUUACAGCAAGGGUUACUUGGAUGAGCUCAGUCUUGGGUGAGCUUGAGCACCCAGCACCCACAAAGCUGCUGUUUCCCAGAUGGGAUAUUGCAAGUGCUCCCUCUUCAGUGUUCUCUUUUUCUUACAAUAAAAAUAAUAAAAGGGAUAAUACUGAACAGAGAUUUUUGUGGAGUGACCAUGAGCAAUCAGCAGUGAUAUGGUGCCUCUUUCAUUUCAGAACCUACUGGGUGAUCCAUCUUUGGCUUUGAUGUACAUGGUGUGUGUCACACCCCCUGCAGGGACAAGAUAUUCUCAUGUGCCACAGAGAUGAGAAGUUAAGUUGAAGGCUUCCUUUCAUAUUAUGGUUGGCAUUCUGUGUAGUUUUACCCUGUUUUAAUUUUUGCUCACAGGCUACAAUUAUCUGUACAGCUAAGGCUCCAAGAGUGGUAGAUCAACUAAAGGUAAAUCUGAAAUUAUUCCAGCAGGGGAGAUAAAAUGCCUAGAUCUGCACAAUAUUAUGGUGUUAGUCAAAACUAGCCAGUUUUUGAGGCAUGUGCAAUAAGUGGCCUUCUCUGUUAUGUCUCUAAAAUAGAAUGGGGCUCUAUUUCUGUCCUGCCAGGCUAAAAAAAAAAUAUUAGAGUUUAAGUAAAGCAGAAAUGAAUUGCUGCUGAGCUGCUGCAUUGCAAAUGAGUCUAUGGUUCAGUAAGUCCAUGGUGAAGUUGUUGCACAGUGUUAACACCGUGUAAAAAGUAAAACAAGAGAGGUAUAAUGAAAACCUCCCAGCUUUUAUUUUCUUUGAAAAUAAUUUUGAAUUUAGGGCCUAACCUUUAUCUUUUGAAUAUGACUACAACCAGGGUUGAAAUUUUGGGGUUGUUUAAUAUAGGUACAGUAAAAUAAUAAUGGAAGUAUGCAGACAGGAGCUCCAUCUGCCCAUACUAGUCCCUCUAGCCACACGGUUUCUCGGCUGUGAGAAGUAGUAAAUUGCAGCCAUUGUCAGGAAAGAUUUUUAUUGACAAUAGGGCCAGUUCCACACAUCUGAUCUGCUAGGGAAUGAGUACAUAUCCACACUGUUUUCUCUGAGUGAAGCUUUUGUACUGAGAAUAUUUCUGUGACAAAAAGAGACUCUUUGAUUUGACUUUUCUACCUCUUGCCAAUAAAAAAAAACCCUUUAGAAAAUCUUAGACUAUCUUUAACCCCAGUACUCCCUUAAGGACUUCCUGGAAUGACCUCUUUUAGAAAGCACCUCUGAAGCUGAUCAUGAGCUAGAAAUCAAACUACUUUUGAGUUUCAUUAUUUCUAUCUGAAUUACAACUCAUUGCAAUUUGCAGCAAUGAUUUACUCUAAUUAAGUACACUUUGAAUCAAAUACUGACUCACAACACAAGGUCCUUUCCAGAAAAAAAUAUUGACACCAAUUUCUCAAGUGUGAAAUUGUAGCAGACAGUAACAGAUUUUUAAAUUACUGUUCUUCUGUAAGGACCUGCACAUACAGACCAAGUGUUGAAAAUUCUUAUGUCUUUCUGAUUUGCUUGGCUCCCACUUGUCUUGAAUGAUCAAAAUAAUUUUUGUAUAUGAUCCAUCAUUGAUUCUGCAUACACCGUAACUGUGCUACAGUUUCCAUCGUUUCAUUCCUGAUUACUAUUACAAAUAAAAAUAAUAUAAAAAUAAUCAGUCUUGCAAUUAUGUUUAGUAGACAGAAAGGGCUAGUCGUGGCUAAAUUCUACUUUUUGUGGCUUUGGAAGUCAUUCCAAAUGUGGUGAUAGCCUUCCCAAGCUGAUGACUUUAAAACAAUAGUACUGUACUGCACACUGAGAGCCCCAUGCAAGCUUCCUCUGACUCAUGAUGUUCCCUCAAUACUUAGUGGAUGUUUUAUUCACAAAGAAAAGGAAGCACAGGAUUAAAAUUUAAGUAGAAACAAAUGAAUUUUGGUGCUGAUUUUAUGAUAUAGUCUCUGGGUAAAGGCAAAUCAUAAAAUUAUUUCUUUUACCACAUUGAUAUUGUUCUAGUUUGGGAUUUUUGAAUGCUGAUUAUGAUAACUGGCUGGUGUGGCCAUGAGCUAGACUGGGGUAGAUUUUCUCAUAAUACACACAUACUUCAGGGACCAUUGAUGCUCAAAGGUUGGUGCCAUGCUCACUAAACCAUAUUGUAGGUGCUCUGACCCACUCUGGUUUACAGCCAACCAAAAGCAAAAAGCUGGAAUUUGCAGGACCAGAGGGGAACAGAUGAGCAGGAGAGGAAUGGAAGGGGAGAGGGGAGCAUUGGCCCAGUUGUCUUGCUCCUGAUGACGCUGGUGUGCACGUUCCUGAGGUCAUGCUCAGGAUGGGAGGUGCUGCUUCAUCCCUCAUCCUGUUGGGCUUCCACAGCUUCUCAGUUUACUUGUUUGUGCAUCAGUUUAAUACUGCUAUGACAGAAGGAUAUUAUGUGAGUUAAGGAAUUCAUUAACAGAUCUCUUCAAGCUCAUCAGUGCAAUUCAUUGCAGGAAUUACAAAGCAUUACUUCUGAAGAUGAAAAAUGUUGUGCCUUGCUGCAUCUCCUGCCUCCUUCCCAGUUUUACUCUCUUUGUGCUGUAACACUCUCGGCAGAGUACACAAGGGUUGGCCUCUGUCAGACCAGGUUCUGAUGGUGUGGCUUUCCCUGACCCCCAGGCAUCCAGGAGAGACCACCAAGCUUGUUAUACUUACAUCUAUUUCAAAACUAAACUCUGUAUUUUAAGUAAAGGCUUAUAUCUAGCCUGAUUAGUUUUGGUUUGUUUUGGUUUUCCUUUGGGCAUGCCUUGAUUCCUUGAAUGCUCUGCAGCAUCCAUUGCUGGAAAACUUUGAGAUUUUGCUUCCUGACGUACGCAGACUUUUCUCCAAGACAUCUUUUCAUGGAAAUUCAUUUUGCUGCUGCCAUGAUGACUUUACAAUCUGUGCCAGUUUUGUCUUUUGGAUUUGAUUCUGUGAAGUCUUGCAAAGCCUCCACCUACUGUCAUAAGUGGCCAGAAUUAGAAUUACUCUGCAUGUCAGGCAUUAGUACUACAGGUACUCAAUCUAAGAAAAUAUUUGGAGAAUUAAAUGGAGAAUGAAUCAUAAUAAGGAGUAAGGGAAGCUGGUGCCAGAUAAAUGCAGACAGAAUUAUGACUGCUAGACAGCCGUGUUUCCAGCUUCUAAAUUUUAUCUCGACUGUGGUGAUAAAGACAGACUAUCAUUAUGUGUGCCAGAUUUUAUGCAUGUCUUUCUUUAAAGCAUAAGUUUGUGCUGGAAGGAUCCUGGAGGUUCCUGAUGCUUAAUCUUAGAAAUACUAGAUCAACGGAAAUAAAGCACUCCGGAAACAAAACACAAAUUAUAUUUCCAAAACAUUUUUUUUUUGUAAUUUGAUCCUCCCAUGUAAACAAGAGACAAUAAAACCUUCUGGGAGUCUUGUUAGCCAACAAUCUCCAAACUGCAAUGAAAGAAGGAUUUCAAAACUAUUUCACAAUUGUGUUUGGAUGAAACAUGUGUUUACUGUAUGUAAAUGAACAAGACAUUCUGUUCUUUUAGGAUUCGUCAGAUCCUUACUGUCUUAGCUGGUUUGGCUUGUGCAGGAAAGUGGGUCUUCUUCAGAAGGUGCUGGAGAAA
rnacentral:lncRNA from 1 species